rnacentral:rRNA from 1 species
UACGUAGGGGGCGAGCGUUGUCCGGAUUUAUUGGGCGUAAAGAGCUCGUAGGCGGUUUGGUAAGUCGGGUGUGAAAUCUCCACGCUCAACGUGGAGGGGCCACUCGAUACUGCCAUGACUCGAGUCCGGUAGAGGAGUGUGGAAUUCCCGGUGUAGCGGUGAAAUUCGUAGAUAUGGGGAGGAACACCGGUGGCGAAGGCGACCAUCUGGACGGAUACUGACGCUGAGACGCGAAAGCGUGGGUAGCAAACAGG